rnacentral:misc_RNA from 1 species
GCCGAAUUGACGAGACGUGAAAAAUUUUAUUGAGCGUGAGUGUAAUUAGUGCUGGCUGAGCUGCUUUUAUAAAAUUCUCUGCUAAUAGUGGUUUAAUUUACAAAUUUAUUAAAAUUGCAUAAGUGUACAGUUAUUCCCAGGGACACUCAUUUAGUUCGUGCAUGUAGCACUUAGACGGAUUGAAUUAGAUUCAUAUAAUACGAGUACAUUUGUGCACGUAUCCCCGUACAUACAUUUGUGUAGUGUACAUAUAGCAACAUACUAAUAUACAAAUGUCUGUGCUUCUCACGUAACUACAUAUUUGCAUAGACUGAACAUUCCAGACGUACUGCUCUCUGCUCCCGAAGGCGAGCGAAUAAAUAAUAACCACAACUACAAACAAGGAACAUCAACGGCAUCCUGCUCGUAUUGCGUGCGGGAGCAACGUCUAUAGGCACAUACCUAACCCACACAUCAGACACAUCCAGGAUGGGUCGGCUAACACAAAUGCUGGCCGUCCUGCUGCUGGUAGCUGUUUUAGGCUCCACAAAUGCAGAGAGUAAAAUAAAUUCACCGCCUCGUAUUAUAAAACAACCCCCAACAGAUGAACUGCUUUUCAAAGUCGCAGUACAAAAUAAGGAAAGUGAUAAACCAUUCAUCAUUGAGUGUGAAGCUGAAGGAAAACCAGACCCAAGUUACCGAUGGAUCAAAAACGGCAAGAAAUUCGAUUGGCAAGCUUACGACAAUCGCAUGCUGCAACAACCCGGUCGCGGUACGCUUGUCAUCACAUCACCCAAGGAUGAAGAUAUGGGUCAGUACCAGUGUUUCGCUGAAAACGAAUUCGGUACAGCCACCUCGAACUCCGUGUUUGUACGCAAAGCCGAAUUGAAUGCAUUUAAGGAUGAAGUGGCGAAAACAAUCGAAACCAAUGAGGGUGAACCCUUCUCGCUUAGUUGCGAAGCACCCGAUGGUUGGCCCAAACCCAUUGUAAACUGGCUGAUACAGCAUUCCUUGGAAGGCACUAUUAAAUCGAUCAACAACUCACGCAUGACACUGGAUCCCGAGGGAACACUUUGGUUCUCGAAUGUGACUCGUGAAGAUGCUUCCGAUGAUUUCUUCUAUGCCUGUUCAGCUACAUCGGUGUUCCGUAAUGAGUACAAAAUUGGCAAUAAAGUCUUAUUGGAUGUGAAACAGACCGGUAUCAGCGCUGCACUGAACAAACAACAACCGAAACGACAAUAUGUGACGCGUAAGAAUGAAGUUGCAUUGCGAGGCAAACGUGUCGAGCUUUAUUGUAUUUUCGGUGGCACACCACUUCCGCAAACGGUCUGGUCUAAAAAUGGUGCGCCCAUAGAAUGGAGUGAUAGAAUCACGCAAGGUCAUUACGGUAAGUCGCUGGUCAUCAGACAGGCGAAUUUCGAGGAUGAAGGUUCCUACACUUGCGACGUUUCAAACGGUGUCGGUAAUGCACAAUCGUAUUCGAUCAAUCUGAAGAUUUUGGCUACACCUUACUUCACCAAAGAACCAGAGGUACAAAACGCGGCCGAAGAUGAAGAAGUCAUAUUCGAAUGCGCAGCUGCUGGUAAUCCCGAGCCCACAAUUCAAUGGAUCCACAAUGGCAAACCGAUUGCACAAUCAGCACCCAAUCCACGUCGUACGGUACAAAGUAAUCGUAUUAUCAUUCGCGAUCUUGUUAAGGCCGAUACUGGUAACUAUGGUUGUAACGCAACCAAUUCGCUUGGCUACGUCUACAAAGAUGUGUACCUGAAUGUGCUGGCACUGCCGCCUGAGAUACAGGAAGCGCCACGUAAGGAAGCCACUGUCGAUGGUAAGAAUGUCACAUUACGUUGCCGUGUGUUUGGUGCACCCAAACCCCAAGUGAAAUGGAUACAUAAUCAUCAAGAAUUGACUGGUGGACGAUACAACACUUUGCCAUCGGGUGACCUGGAGAUCCAAGAAGUUGCGUUUAGUGAUGAGGGCGACUACACGUGUUACGCGACCAAUAAAUUCGGCAGCAUAUCUGCGAAUGGCACAUUGUUGGUAAUGAAGCGCACAAGCAUUAUUCAUGAGCCACAGAAUUACGAAGUAGCUGCUGGCAAAUCGGCGACAUUCCGUUGUAAUGAAGAGCACGAUGAAAAACUUGAUCUUGUAAUUGAGUGGUGGAAGGAUGGUCAAGCUAUUGAUUUCGAAUCGGAAGCACGUUUCAUGAAGACCAACGACAAUUCACUGACCAUACCAAAAACCGUUGAAUUGGAUUCUGGCGAGUACACAUGCGUGGCACGCACCGAAUUGGACGAGGCAUCGGCUAAAGCCAAUCUCAUUGUGCAAGAUGUACCCAAUGCGCCGCGUUUAGUCGGCAUCGUGUGUAUGGCUAAUAGGAUUAGAGUCACUUGGGAACCGCAGGGUGACAAUCGUUCACCGAUUCUAUACUACACCAUCGAAUUCAACACUUCGUUCACACCCGAUUCGUGGGAUAUCUCAUACGAUAAAGUACCAUCCACUGAAACCGCAUUUGUGGUUGAUUUAACGCCUUGGUCCAACUACACGUUCCGAGUAAAAGCCUUCAACAAAAUUGGUCCCUCACCGCCAUCGGAUCACAGUGAGUUUUGUACCACGCCGCCAGAUGUGCCCUACAAGAAUCCAGAUAACGUACAAGGCAUGGGUACCGAACCAAAUAACUUGGUAAUUUCUUGGACUCCAAUGCCGGAGAUUGAUCAUAAUGCGCCAGACUUCCACUACCGUGUCUCUUGGAAACGUGAUAUACCAGCUGCCUCAUGGGAGAGUAAAGAUAUAUAUGAUUGGCAGCAGAACAAUUUGGUAAUACCAGAUCAACCAACCUAUGUACCCUACCUAAUCAAAGUAGUUGCUAUAAAUAAACACGGCGAAGCGAAUGUUGCGCCUACAGAGGUUGUCGGUUAUUCGGGCGAAGAUCGUCCUUUGGAAGCUCCCACCAACUUCAGUAUGGUCCAGGUAACCGCUGCCACCACUGCCAUGUUGCGCUGGAAUCACGUAAGUCCCGAAUCGGUACGUGGUCGCUUCAAGGGUUACAAGAUUCAAACAUGGACCGAGAAGGAGGGUGAGGAAGCGCUACGCGAAAUACAUGUCGAUGCCAUCUCCGAUCAGGCGCUCGUGACACAAUUCAAACCCGAUUCGAAGAACUUUGCACGUGUGCUUGCCUACAAUGGACGUUUCAAUGGCCCACCCAGUGUAGUCAUCGACUUUGAUACGCCCGAAGGUGUACCAUCGCCAGUGCAGUCAUUAGAUGCUUACCCGCUGGGUUCAUCCGCCUUCUGGUUGGUUUGGAAGAAACCAUUGCAACCAAAUGGUAAACUGACCGGCUACAAAAUCUAUUAUGAAGAGGUUAAGGGCAGCUAUGUAAGCGAGCGACGUGAACUCGAUCCGCAUAUUAAUGAUCCACAGAUAACGAGCGCAAAAUUAGCUGGUUUGAAGGCAAACACGAAAUAUAGAAUUUCAAUAACGGCAACCACGAAAAUGGGAGAAGGAUCAGAACACUUCAUUGAGAAACGCACCCUGCCAGAAGACUCACAAAUGCCUGCUGUACCUGGAUUUAUCGUCCAACAAUUAAAAUCCGAGAAUAAUAAUGCAAAAUAUCGCGUCAAUUGGCAGCCGAGUACCGAAGGGCAUGCCGGCACACACUUCUACACACAAUACAGAAUCAAAGGCGAGCCAAACUUCAAAACAGAAAAACCCGAAUUCUCCAAAGAUUACCAAGAAAUCGGUGGUCUCAAUCCAGAUAAUGUGUAUGAAUUCCGUGUUGUAUCUGUCGAUGGUGAUCAUGAAACGCCCAGCGAAUUGCGUGAAAUCGUCAUUGACGGCCCCACCAAAGUGCCCAAUCAGAAUGUGGCGAAUGCAGGCUGGUUCAUUGGCAUGAUGCUGGCGCUGGCCUUCAUCAUACUACUGUUCAUUAUUAUUUGUAUCAUACGACGCAAUCGUGGUGGCAAAUACGAUGUGCAUGAUCGUGAAUUGGCGAACGGACGUCGCGACUAUCCGGAUGAAGGUGGAUUCCAUGAAUACUCACAACCAUUGGAUAAUAAGAGCGCUGGACAGCAAUCGGUUCAUUCGGCGAAACAGCCUGGUGUGGAGAGUGACACCGACUCGAUGGCCGAAUAUGGAGAUGGUGAUACAGCAGCUGUAGUUAGAGGCGUAGCAAAUAAUUUACCAACUCUGCACGAACUACAAGACGAGGUUGCCAACGCAGCCGCAAACAUACUUAAACAUUAGCCACACUCUUAUUACAAUAGAAUAUACAAAUCUAGUAAAUUCUUUUGACAUUAUCUAAAGGCUUAAACGAAGACGGCUCUUUUAUUGGCCAAUAUGGACGUAAAGGACUUUGAUUGCAAUCACUUUAAGUUUAAACCAUUUAUGUAUUCGCAACCGUCGUCUCGACACAACCAUGACAUAAAGAGCGCCAACAACCUUCACGGGCACGACAACAGCAAAAUUAGCUACCAACCAACAACAACAACAAGUUUUGAUUACUGCCAAACAGAACGCAGCUAGUAGCGAAACAUAAAAGAAAUAAAAAUAAGCAAUUUUUUUUUAAAUCAAAACGAUGCAGCUCUGAAUCUCUCUCAUCAAAUUAAGCACGAGAAAUGAAAUAAACCGAAACAGUUAUUUUUUGUAUAAUACUAAAACAAACUAAACUACUGAAUUGCAAACGCGAAACCGUUAUUUAAUUUUAUGGCAAUAAGUAUACAUAUAAAUAUAUAAAUAAAUAUUAAACUCAUCCACACACGCACACACAGCCACAUAAACGCGCUUAAGCGGAUGAUAAUGAAAGCAGCACCGAGUGAAAAAGCGGGGUGCGCCUAUGCGUAGACAUAUUUGCAACUCUCUCUUGUAUUUUUUUUUAACUAUAUAUAGUUUAAAGUAUGUUUUAUAAAAAAUUAAAAUGUAAAAUCUUAUAAUUGCUU